rnacentral:lncRNA from 1 species
UCCAAACUACUUUUAUUUUCUGGGCUGAAAGUCCAAACUACCAGCAGCAAGCACCUGCAGCCUCAUCUAACAGUCUAUUACUCCAAUUAUUGAAUAAGUUCUUUUCUUUUCCAUGAAGAAACUCAACAAAUACAACAAACGAAGCUUCCACCAUUGAAGGUAUAUCACCUUCUUAGUUUCUUUUAGUGAAAGUACACAUAGAGAAGAUCAGGCUACACAAUUUUACAUAAUUUUGCUUCAAAUUAUGUCAUAAAUAUAUAGAUGUUUGCUAUGGUUUUGUAGCCGAUAAUAAAGAAAUUUAACAUCAAAAACCAAAACAUAUUAUCCAAAAUUACCUAAAAAAACAUUAUGCUAAAGUAAUAUAGCCAAUCUUGUGAGGGUAGUUUAGAGUUUACCAAACCUAAUAUUGAAGGAAAAAUAUCUACCAUUAUCAGCUUUGCACGAAACAGCUAGAAGUCCUUGAUCCACUAAAUAACCUAAAAUAUUUACUUUACUGAAAAGAAAAAUAAUAGUUUAAAGUAAAAAUAUCUCACCGCAGCUGCCUUGGUUUUUGAUCGGAUUAACAGCCCCCAACGCUCUCCAGUCGACGGAUUCCGGCAACUUGUCGUCGGGGAGGACAACGUACCUGAGGCUAGGGUUCUUGGCCUUCAUGACCCUCCUCUUAGGGUCAGGGCGGGUUCCGAGAAACC